rnacentral:rRNA from 1 species
GAUGAACGCUGGCGGCGUGCCUAAUACAUGCAAGUCGAGCGAAUGGAUUGAGAGCUUGCUCUUAUGAAGUUAGCGGCGGACGGGUGAGUAACACGUGGGUAACCUGCCCAUAAGACUGGGAUAACUCCGGGAAACCGGGGCUAAUACCGGAUAACAUUUUGAACCGCAUGGUUCGAAAUUGAAAGGCAGCUUCGGCUGUCACUUAUGGAUGGACACGCGUCGCAUUAGCUAGUUGGUGGGGUAACGGCUCACCAAGGCAACGAUGCGUAGCCGACCUGAGAGGGUGAUCGGCCACACUGGGACUGAGACACGGCCCAGACUCCUACGGGAGGCAGCAGUAGGGAAUCUUCCGCAAUGGACGAAAGUCUGACGGAGCAACGCCGCGUGAGUGAUGAAGGCUUUCGGGUCGUAAAACUCUGUUGUUAGGGAAGAACAAGUGCUAGUUGAAUAAGCUGGCACCUUGACGGUACCUAACCAGAAAGCCACGGCUAACUACGUGCCAGCAGCCGCCGCGG